ensembl:snoRNA U8 U8 small nucleolar RNA
UUAUCAGGUGGGAUAAUCUUUACCGGUUCCUCCUUUUGGAGGGUAGAUUCGAAUAUGAUGAUUGGAGUUGGUAUUGUACGUGAUUAACGUCUCUGCAUAAUCAGGACUUGCAACACCUUGAUCGCUCCUAUCUGAU